rnacentral:rRNA from 1 species
GAUGAACGCUGGCGGCGUGCCUAAUACAUGCAAGUCGAGCGAAUGGAUUAAGAGCUUGCUCUUAUGAAGUUAGCGGCGGACGGGUGAGUAACACGUGGGUAACCUGCCCAUAAGACUGGGAUAACCCCGGGAAACCGGGGCUAAUACCGGAUAACAUUUUGAACCGCAUGGUUCGAACUUGAAAGGCGGCUUCGGCUGUCACUUAUGGAUGGACCCGCGUCGCAUUAGCUAGUUGGUGAGGUAACGGCUCACCAAGGCAACGAUGCGUAGCCGACCUGAGAGGGUGAUCGGCCACACUGGGACUGAGACACGGCCCAGACUCCUACGGGAGGCAGCAGUAGGGAAUCUUCCGCAAUGGACGAAAGUCUGACGGAGCAACGCCGCGUGAGUGAUGAAGGCUUUCGGGUCGUAAAACUCUGUUGUUAGGGAAGAACAAGUGCUAGUUGAAUAAGCUGGCACCUUGACGGUACCUAACCAGAAAGCCACGGCUAACUACGUGCCAGCAGCCGCCGUAA